rnacentral:rRNA from 1 species
AAUGAACGCUGGCGGCGCGCCUAAUACAUGCAAGUCGAGCGAGAAGACGUAGCAAUACGUUUGUAAAGCGGCGAACGGGUGAGGAAUACAUGGGUAACCUACCCUCGAGUGGGGAAUAACUAGCCGAAAGGUUAGCUAAUACCGCGUACGCUUCUUGGACUUCGGUUCAGGGAGGAAAGCGAUGCCGAGGGUAUCGCGCUCUUGGAUGGGCUCAUGUCCUAUCAGCUUGUUGGGAGGUAACGGCUCACCAAGGCUUCGACGGGUAGCUGGUCUGAGAGGAUGAUCAGCCACACUGGAACUGAGACACGGUCCAGACUCCUACGGGAGGCAGCAGUGGGGAAUAUUGGACAAUGGGCGCAAGCCUGAUCCAGCCAUGCCGCGUGUGUGAA